AUUGAACGCUGGCGGCAGGCCUAACACAUGCAAGUCGAACGGUAGCACAGAGAGCUUGCUCUCGGGUGACGAGUGGCGGACGGGUGAGUAAUGUCUGGGAAACUGCCUGAUGGAGGGGGAUAACUACUGGAAACGGUAGCUAAUACCGCAUAAUGUCGCAAGACCAAAGAGGGGGACCUUCGGGCCUCUUGCCAUCAGAUGUGCCCAGAUGGGAUUAGCUAGUAGGUGGGGUAACGGCUCACCUAGGCGACGAUCCCUAGCUGGUCUGAGAGGAUGACCAGCCACACUGGAACUGAGACACGGUCCAGACUCCUACGGGAGGCAGCAGUGGGGAAUAUUGCACAAUGGGCGCAAGCCUGAUGCAGCCAUGCCGCGUGUAUGAAGAAGGCCUUCGGGUUGUAAAGUACUUUCAGCGGGGAGGAAGGCGAUAAGGUUAAUAACCUUGUCGAUUGACGUUACCCGCAGAAGAAGCACCGGCUAACUCCGUGCCAGCCGCCGCGGUAACAC
rnacentral:rRNA from 1 species